AGGGUUCCUGCUUAAAGCUAAUCUGAGCAGGGUGAGCCGACCCCUAAGGCGAGGCCGAAAGGCGUAGUCGAUGGGAACCAGGUUAAUAUUCCUGGGCCAGGAGGAAGUGACGGAUCGUAGCUGUUGUCAGGCCUUAUCGGAUUGGUCUGGCCUCGAAGCGGUUCCUGGAAAUAGCCCUCCAUGAGAUCGUACCCUAAACCGACACAGGUGGACUGGUAGAGCAUACCAAGGCGCUUGAGAGAACUGCGUUGAAGGAACUCGGCAAAAAUGCCUCCGUAACUUCGGGAGAAGGAGGCCCCGUCUGCGGGCAACCGUGGGCGGGGGGCACAAACUAGGGGGUGGCGACUGUUUACUAAAAACACAGGUCUCUGCGAAGCCCAAAGGCGACGUAUAGG
rnacentral:rRNA from 1 species